GGAAAACUGCACUUCAGUUUCUACCAAACGAGUCGUAUUAAAAGCCAACAGAAAGACGUAUCAAAGUUGUAUCACUGACUAUAAAAGUCACGCGUAUUUUUUUACAUUUUCAUACUCGACCAAACGUCCCUAUUUUUUGAUAAAUAAGUGAAAGGUAAGUGACAAACAGGUGAUCACCGGCUCCCUCUUGUGGUCAAUAAGUGUAUCAACAUUAUUAAUUGAAACGACAAACUCGAGAUGGCGGCCGGUAUAGUCGUAGGUGAGACUGAAACGUACAUUUGAUAUAUUUUCCGACAAAUCUAUGAUUUUGUCGGGGUCUUGACCCGCAGAGCAACAUGGAUCUACCAGUUUCAGAAAAUGAAUCAGAUCAGCUCUCAACUGAUGGGGUAACACUGGUGAAAUGUGUUGAACUCGAAGGCACGUGCUCAGAGUCUAAAUACGUAAAAUACGGGUCGAGUUUCUUAUUUUUAUGACUUCUGUUGGAAUGGAUCUAAAGUGAUGACUGUUUGUAGUGCUCAACUCCAGUCCUGGGGACUCACAGUGCUGCACAUUUUGUUUCUCUCUCUCUUAUUUGUUAGACCUACUUUCCUAGUAUCUGAAGCGUAUUCAAUCAUGCAUCAUGUUCUGGCCCGAAAUCACAAUAUGUCAAGAAAAACUUUAAAUUAUUUAGAUAUUACAUAUAAUUUGGUAGUUGAACUUACAGUGUUGCACAUUUUGUUGGUGUAUU